rnacentral:misc_RNA from 1 species
AAAGUCGUAACAAGGUUUCCGUAGGUGAACCUGCGGAAGGAUCAUUAACACGUUCCACGUAUCCACCCGAGAACUCGUUUUUCUAAAGGAUUAAGCUUCAGUUGACCUGUAAACUCUGUGCAUUCCGCAAAAUAUUUCGAUAAGGAAACAGGCUGCAUAAGCCUGGCGGCUGUCAGUAGAAAUGUCUUCGAUUCAGUUCGAAGGAGGCGCUGAAGAUCUGGUCCUGUUUCUGUUCCUUAUCGAAUUUUUACAAUUAUUUACCCCUUUCGAAACGUACUAAUUUAUAUUUCUUUCUAAGAAAUUGGAAAGCAUUUUCGGAUGCUUCUCUAACUCUAAGAAAAACCUUAAGAACAACUCUUAACAACGGAUAUCUUGGCUCUC